UCACUGUUGAAGAGUCCCAUAAUAGGACGAAACGGCCGUCCAGUGC
rnacentral:hammerhead_ribozyme from 1 species